rnacentral:lncRNA from 1 species
AGAGGAAAGGGACAGCGAAGCCAGAGCUCUGUGUGCUGAGCUGGGUGUGGCUUCCUUGGAAGGCGGUGAGUGCUUGUUCCCUGGAAAAAUCUAUGGAGGACACGGAUGCCGGAAAGGAGGCGGAGGGAAUAUGAUGCAUGUUAUUGCGCAGGAGGGCUGACGUAAAAGGUGCCAGGUGACUUAAAACCACCAAUCCACGCCUCACCCCUUGCCCGUGUCAGACAUCACUAAUCCAUUACCAUACUCUUUCAAUGAGUGUAUCAUAGGCCCCUCCGUGACAUUUUUGGGACCCAAGACAAGGGCACAGAGACCCCCUCCAGGACCCCACGUACUUGCGUGUGUCUAGCCUUCAAGUCCAAGCUCCGUAUACAUCUCCGUGCAAAUAGCUUUCCCAUGGAAACUACCCUUUCUACUCACAUGGGUCUAGGGGUACAUACUUGUCACACCUUAGGGGGGCUGACCUAGGGAGAUGCUAGCACAAGCCCUAGAAUUGCACUCUGGACUGUUUGGGCAGGGGCUUCUGUGGGCCAGGGUACCCAGAGUGUAGCCUGCAAGGCCGGGGGGAGAGGGAGAUCAUGGGCCUCCGAGUGCAGUGUAGUCCUUACCGUGGUGGGUCGUAUGGUCAGAGUAGGGGCCUCUAAGAGCCCCAGCGCCCUGUUUCUAACAGCAGUCCUGGCACAUUUCAUUGGAACAUGUGAAGGCUUCCCCCAAUCUUGCCCACAGCAGACAUGGCCAAUCCAUCCCUGCAUUCUCCCCCUGAGAGUCCUUCACCUAGUACUCCAGGAACUGACCUCGAUCAGCUGCCAUCAUCAGGACAAGGAGCAGCAGCGUUAGGAUCAGGAAUUAAAAAUCCUACACCAUUGGAACCUUUGUUCAGUCAACAUUGGCAGAAGCUUAACAUCUCAAAGCAGCACUGCAGCGCUCCAGCUGAGGCAGAGGGACCAAGCAGCCAGACCCAAGGAACCUCCGCUGAACUCUAGGGCCCUGCAGAGUCCAGUGUGGGGGCGAGACAGUGCUAUGGAGCCUUUGGGCUUUAAGAGUCUGAGGGCCCCUGAGCCCUUCUGCUCAUCUGAAAAGUGUUGGUGAAAGCAUUCGCCUUGCCCACCUGUGAAAACAGUGUGGCCAGAAAUCGGAGGGCACAAUGGUGAUAAAUGAGAGUAUCUCCCAGCGGUGACAUUGGUCAUUGGGUUAGUUCCGCUGUCUCUGUGGCCCUUCGACCCCUGUGGGGACUGUUGGCCUUGAAAACCCAGGCCACAGCCCUGAGUUACCAAUACCUCACUUAGGAUGUAGGAAACUACAAGAGAAUAUCAGUCCUACGGUAACAAUAAGAAAAAGCCAAUAAUCUAUCGAGUCAAACUUCUUUUAGCCCAUCGGGGACUGAGGUUGCAAAGCAAGCAAACUAAAUUGCAGAGGGUGACAGGUCCCUCCAAGAAGAAAGAGGGCACACAUGCUCUUCCUCCUUUGGUGGAGCAUGGGACAAGGUGUCCUACAGAGAGGCAGAAAAUACAACUGAAAUCGUAAAAAUUACUAUUAUUAUUUUUUUUGGCUGCACCCACCACACACAAAAUUUCCCAAGCCAGGGAUCAAACCCGUGCUGCAGCCGUGACCCAAGCCGCUGCAGUGGCAAAGCUGGAUCCUUAACUUGCUGCACCACAGGAGAACUCCUGAAAUUGUAGCACAUUUUUAAAGGUUGGUGUGGGACUUUGGAGUUGUGGGCAGCCCCAUGCACAAGGGCAGUCAUCGCCUACUCACCAGCUCUCGUCCAUGGGCCUCCACUGGACACACAUGGGAAAGAGCUGGGGCAGGACAGCAGACCCUUGAGAGCAUCCCUUGGGGCUCUGACCAAGUUUGAGAGGGCAAAUUAAGGAAGCAGGGCCUAUUUACAGUGUAUCAGGCACAAAAUACUUGCACAUGGAAAACUAGAAAGCCUUGCUGAGAGAAAUGUAAGAG